AACUGAUACUACCUGCGGGAACCUGCGGAGGGAUCAUUAUUGAAAUAAAAAUUGGUGUCGAGUUGUUGCUGGCUUUUCGGAGUAAUAGUGCACGCUCAAACCAUUUUUAUAAUAGACCCCAGUGCACCUUUGUAGAUUCCCCCUGCUAAAGUACUUGAAGGUUGAUACUUCUCGUAUUAUAAAAGGGGAUCUAUGUCUUUAUAUACCCCAUAAUAGUUGCAGAAUGUGUUGGUUAAUAGG
rnacentral:misc_RNA from 1 species